GCGCGAAAACUUUGCAAUGCGGGAAACCGUGACAAGGGAACUCUGAGUGCCCGUUAAAUCGGGCUGUCCAUCGGUUUAAAUAACCGGUGAAGAAAGGGCCGGGCAAGACCGGUGCCAGCCGCCGCGGUAAUACCGGCGGCUCGAGUGGUGGCCACUAUUACUGGGCUUAAAGCGUUCGUAGCUGGUUUGUUAAGUCUCUGGGGAAAUCUUCCGGCUUAACCGGAAGGCGUUUCAGGGUAUACUGGCAGACUAGGGACCGGGAGAGGUGAGAGGUACUCCAGGGGUAGGAGUGAAAUCCUGUAAUCCUUGGGGGACCACCUGUGGCGAAGGCGUCUCACCAGAACGGCUCCGACAGUGAGGGACGAAAGCUGGGGGAGCAAACCGGAUUAGAUACCCGAG
rnacentral:rRNA from 1 species